AGCUAAACGUUCUAAAGACAAAGAGGAAGAAAGUGAAUGCAUUUGAAGGUGCAGGAAAACCAACUAUUGGAGGAGGGGAAGGAUCUGAGUAUGCAGACCUAGAAGUCCUUGAAAAACCAAACACUUACGAAGAACUCUCUCAUUAUAACGAGGCUGUUGAUAAAAUAUAAUAUGGAUAUCUGAUGUAGAGGUACAGUUUACUCGAAGUAGAAAAUUACAAAGUGUCAUUAUCAGCAGACAUACUCCUAUGUUUUCAACAAACUGCACCCAUGCAUUUGAGUUGUUUAUUCCUAACUUUCGAACAGUGGAUCUUAUGUUAAGAUUUCCUUUUAAUUUUUAAUUGGAAAAAAAAAUUAUUCAAAUACAGCUUCUUUUAAAGGCAGUUCGAUCGAAUGAGGAUUAUAUCAUAACAAAAAUUGCAUACAAUUAGAAAAUUAUGGAAUUUAUAAAGCUCGGGAAUAAAGUAGCAAAUGUAUUUAAGUUAAGCCGAUCACGCAGGAUGAAAUAACUUCAAGAGUACUGUGCAACAAUAUAUUCGAGAAGUGGUGUAAAUCAGAUGUGAAUACUUAAAAAUUCCAAGGAACUUUUGGAAAAUUUGAAAUCACAAGAUUUUACCAACAUCAACAGCUUAAAAACUUACGACUUUUCAACUUUGUACACAACCAUUCCCCACGAUAAAUUAAAGUCCCGGCUUUUUGAUAUCAUUGACAGGUGCUUUUUCAAUAAAAAUGGAACUCGUAAAUAUACUUACCUUGUCAUUGGUCAUUUGCAAAAUUAUUUUGUUAAAAAACAUUCUGAUUGUUCACACAAGUACUCUGAAGUUGACAUUAAAAAGAUGCUUGAGUUUCUGAUUGACAAUAUCUAUGUGGAUUUUGGAGACCAGGUCUUCCAACAAUCUAUUGGAAUUCCCAUGGGUACCAAUUGCGCCCCGUUAUUAGCAGACCUUUUUUUGUAUUCAUAUGAAGCAGAAUUUGUCCAAAAUCUUGUACGUGAAAAGAAGAAAACACUUGCUGUGGCCUUCAACUCGACAUUUAGA